rnacentral:tRNA from 1 species
GGGAGUAGCUCAGUUGGUUAGAGCGCCGCCCUGUCACGGCGGAGGCCGCGGGUUCAAGUCCCGUCUCUC